GCCGACGUAGCUCAGCGGUAGAGCAACUGAUUCGUAAUCAGUAGGUCUGGAGUUCGAAUCUCCACGUCGGCACCA
rnacentral:tRNA from 1 species